rnacentral:tRNA from 1 species
AUUUAUAUAGUAUAAUAGUAUAUUUAACUUCCAAUUAAAAGGACUAAUAAAAAAAUUAGUAUAAAUA